rnacentral:rRNA from 1 species
CACGUAGGGCGCGAGCGUUGUCCGGAAUUAUUGGGCGUAAAGAGCUCGUAGGCGGUCUGUCACGUCUGCUGUGAAAACUCGGGGCUUAACCCCGGGCCUGCAGUGGGUACGGGCAGACUAGAGUGCGGUAGGGGAGACUGGAAUUCCUGGUGUAGCGGUGAAAUGCGCAGAUAUCAGGAGGAACACCGGUGGCGAAGGCGGGUCUCUGGGCCGUAACUGACGCUGAGGAGCGAAAGCGUGGGGAGCGAACAGG